rnacentral:rRNA from 1 species
GACGAACGCUGGCGGCGUGCUUAACACAUGCAAGUCGAACGGUAAGACCCUUCGGGGUACACGAGUGGCGAACGGGUGAGUAACACGUAGGUGAUCUGCCCUGCACUUCGGGAUAAGCCUGGGAAACUGGGUCUAAUACCGGAUAGGACCACUGCCUGCAUGGGUGGUGGUGGAAAGCUUUUGCGGUGUGGGAUGGGCCCGCGGCCUAUCAGCUUGUUGGUGAGGUGAUGGCCUACCAAGGCGACGACGGGUAGCCGGCCUGAGAGGGUGACCGGCCACACUGGGACUGAGAUACGGCCCAGACUCCUACGGGAGGCAGCAGUGGGGAAUAUUGCACAAUGGGCGCAAGCCUGAUGCAGCGACGCCGCGUGAGGGAUGACGGCCUUCGGGUUGUAAACCUCUUUCAGCACCGACGAAGCGCAAGUGACGGUAGGUGCAGAAGAAGGACCGGCCAACUACGUGCCAGCCGCCGCCGUAA